rnacentral:lncRNA from 1 species
UUAUUGACGGUGCGCUGCAUAUACAUCUGACAGAUCAUUAUUUGUGCCAUAUUAGAUGUAUUUGUUCUGUGAUAGAUGAACUCAUGAACAUGAACUUGAGAGUUGAGGAUAUGGGCCGGAUUAUGAAAUAUGAAUUUGUGAUUGUAUACUGUGUAUUUAUGUAACAAGUAUGAGAACGAGUGACAAGUGAUGACCAGAACUUGCGGUCGAUCGUAAAUUUGAUAAGGACAAAUUUGAUAAGAUCAAGUCCGUAACUUGUGUUGUACUUGUAUUAUUCUAUUCAAGAAUGAUUUUGUGUCGUUUUGAAUUUUGAUCCGUUCAGAUACCUUAUUACCUUGAUCAAUUCAACUGAAUUUAAAAGUUUUGCUGGCUAUGUAUAAAAAGAGCCUCUGAAAAAAUAAAAGGAAAAAAUAAAUGUAAAAACCGUCAAAGGUUCAGAAUUUCAUUUCUUUGAUGCCCAUACGAGUACACAAAGGUUAGAGACAUAGAGAGGUACUAUAAUAUACAGCCUGGAUUAGGCGCUGACGAAAAAGAUCCAGAGAAAUUUCAAUAUUUGACACCCAAUUUGAGAGCUUGACACCCAAUUCGAGAGCCUUUCAAAAAAUGACACUGAG